AUGUACAGUUGGGAUAGCUUAAUGGACAUAGGAUCCUGCACUAAUCUGCCUGGUAUCACUGCCUCCUGCACAAUGCUUUCACAAUGCGGACACAGAGCAGCUCCUGUGGUGGGCACAGGAGCCAACCAUGCAAGAAAUGAAAAGCAAAGACUGUACAGUAUGUUACUGUUACUGAAUGCAAAUGCAGCACGGAUGUUAGCAACACAAAACUAAAUCAGUCUGGCAAGAGGAAAGCCAGCCCUGGACUUGCAUCAGCGGCGCUGAUCUGUGGGUUCCAAGUGUGGCAUCACUGCAGAGCAGGUUGGACGAGGCUCCCUGACCUCCUCUACUUGGCAGGCUUUCUUUUGCAUUUUUGGCUGAGAGACAAACUAAACUGCCCUCCCCAGGCCCUCCAACUGGUCCCAGUACAUCCCGGUGCAGGUGUGCUGGCGGGCAAGGUGAGGAGAGAUUUAAUCACUCCAGCAUAUGGGUAAGUACAGGACAAUCCACACGGUGUGUUUCACCAGCAUGACAUAAAAAUGAGGAGAGUGGGGAGAAACAGCUGCAGUGAUGCAAAGGCUGUCUGUAGCUACAAAAUGGGCAGAUAAGAGUAUCUUUUUUGUAGAAAAACAGGCAGUGUAACAGCUCUGGAGCGUGGAUCCCAAUAGAGCACCUAUUUUUCAGGCUGUUUGUAUUUUGGGCUCAGACAUAGUUCCAUUCCAGAGACAGCAUAUCCACAAAGGAUUUCCAGCUUCUGUCUGAAUAUCCUGGAAUGCCUGUGUGAGUAGAUCCUUCCUCUGAACUGCCUUUGGCUUCACAGACCUCUGGUAAGAGGGAAGAUCUUGGAGGUCAAACAUCGAGAAAUAGGUGUAAGGAGAGGGAAUCUAUGGCUCUGCCACCAAGUUCUUUUGCCAUCUUGUACAGAACAUUUCUCAUAUCUGUGCCUACGUUUCCAAUCUGUAACGUAAAAAUAGCAGUACUUCAUCUCAGCCACGCGCUGCAGUCCUAAAAUACAAAAUCUUUCAUAGAAAGCCUGCUGAUUACCAGGUUAAUGUAGAGUCUUGCCCCAUAGGGCACUUUUCCUCCUACGUCUGUUUUCUCCUAUGUAUGGACUUUGCAGUGGUCAUCUGUAAGGUAAACUGUGAAAUCUCUGUGUUAUGUACAUUUGUGUCCAGCCUUGAAACGUUAUUUCGUUCCCUGAGGUGUGUGUGCUGCUGUAAGGCAAAUGAAGUAUCCCAAUCCCCUGUUAAUUACUCAUUAGGUGAGAUUUAAUGUGUGUAUAUGUGGGGCUGGCAGCCAGAAUUGGAUACACAGGGAUGGUCUGUGAGCCAAACUUCUAUCAGCUUUAAGGCAGGGGUGGUUGAGUAACUAGGGCAAAACGAACAAAAUAAAAUGGUAAGACCAUUAGCUCUUUGCCCCAAACUUAACCCAACACCUUUCCUUUUCAUCACAAGACCAAACUUGUAGUCCACAUCAGAAGGCUGGGAGACCUGGGGUAGAUUCACAUACGUGCACAGAACAAAUCACAGGUCUGGACUGAGCCAAAGCGUCACUUGGGACCCAAAUCCAGAUCUCACCUGUGACUGUUAGUUCUACCCGAACUUUGAUAUGGUAUUGAAAUUGG
rnacentral:lncRNA from 1 species